UACCUCUGGCUCCUUUGCAUUUAAUCGAGAAAAUCUUUCGCCUUUUACUAAAGAUUUCCGUGCAAAGGAGCAAUUAUGAGUAUUUACCAAUUUUUGGAAUCCCCUCGAAAGAGCGGGAUA
rnacentral:snRNA from 1 species